UGAGCAACCUGCCUUUCAGAGGGGGAUAACAGUUGGAAACGACUGCUAAUACCGCAUAACGCUGCGAUGGGGCAUCCCGAUGCAGCCAAAGGAGCAAUCCGCUGGAAGAUGGGCUCGCGGCCGAUUAGCUAGUUGGUGGGGCAACGGCCCACCAAGGCGACGAUCGGUAGCCGGACUGAGAGGUUGAUCGGCCACAUUGGGACUGAGGCACGGCCCAGACUCCUACGGAAGGCAGCAG
rnacentral:rRNA from 1 species